rnacentral:rRNA from 1 species
GAUACUCAAUUUAAAGUGAGUAAACAGAAUUCCAUACUCGAUCUUAUAGAUCCCUAUAGAAUUCUGUGGAAAGCCGUAUUCGAUGAAAGUCGUAUGUACGGCUUGGAAGGAGAUCUUUCCUAUCUUUCGAGAUCCACCCUACAAUAUGGGGUCAAAAAGCCAAAAAAAUAA